rnacentral:rRNA from 1 species
UACAGAGGUCUCAAGCGUUGUUCGGAUUCAUUGGGCGUAAAGGGUGCGUAGGUGGCGCGCUAAGCCAGGUGUGAAAUUUCGGAGCUUAACUCCGAAACUGCAUUUGAUACUGGCGUGCUUGAGGACUGGAGAGGAGACUGGAAUUCAUGGUGUAGCAGUGAAAUGCGUAGAGAUCAUGAGGAAGACCAGUGGCGAAGGCGGGUCUCUGGACAGUUCCUGACACUGAGGCACGAAGGCCAGGGGAGCAAACGGG